AUUGUUUAAAAUAUUUAUGUUUAAAGAAAUUGUAUUUUUAAUUUCCGUUGGAGAUUUGUAGGUAAUAAAUCAUAUUUUAAUUUUCGUAGUAGAUCUGUAGGUAAUUACCUACGGAUUACCUACUACUAACAAAAAAAACCCGGUACUCAAACACAUUCCUCCUUACCGUUUCCUUUUUUCUCUAACUUGAAGACGAAGAACCCUACAUCGGUUUGGAGUGCCGCUGCCGGAAUUUCAUUUACUAAACACUACAGUGCCCGUCGGAAUCGUAUGUAUUAUUCUCUCUCCCCCUCAAUUUUGUUUUUCGACACUUGUAAUCACCAUUUGACGAACCCUAGAUAAAUUUUAGUUUCCGGUGGUUUCUCCACUUCACCGCCACUGUCGUCGGUAUCUUCCACAUUCCUACUACCGCAGCUGUUGCCGGUUCCUCCCACUCCCCCGCCACUGUCGCCAGUUACUCCCAAUCUACCCCACCGAUACUUGUAAUCAGGGUUGGUGAAUAGAAGUUGAUGGCGUCAUGAAGGCUGCGAUGAUGAUGAUAAAGUUCGAUGACAGGUUUGUGCCCGGUGAUGGUGUAUGGUGGUAGCGUACGAUGAAGAGGGUGACGGGUUGUUGCAUGUUAAUGGUGAAAAUGUCCUCUGUGUGUUUCUGUAGAUUAGCAACAUUUUUCAUUCAUAUGCAGUAUUUCAUGUAAACCUUGUAUGGGGUGUGAUGCUGACCAAAUUAUUGUCCGAUAAUUGUAAUAAAAUAUUGUGUUGUUUAGUUUACA